rnacentral:ncRNA from 1 species
GUUGAGCCGCCGCCGGGUGGCUAGUUAGAAAAGCGCGGAUUCGUAUCUUUAGGCCUUAGUAGAUACGAAUUGAGGCGCUUUUUGUCAUU